rnacentral:lncRNA from 1 species
UUUUUUUCAUUUUUCUUAGUUUUUAAGGGCGUGUUUUGGGCUUUAAAUUGAUUUGGUAGUGCACAUGGUGUUACUACCAUGCGACCCUUAGAUCAAUUCGAUGUUUCGAACAUAUAAAGAUUGAAGGGGUUGUUAGGCACAACCGUUGCCUCCACGUCGUUAUGAACAGUGCAGAGUGACAGGCAACGCGGGCAGCGAAAGAAAAAGAGAAAGCGGGCACCGAGCGACAGGCAAUGCAGGCAACAACGAAAGAAAAAGGGGGGAGCGAGACCGCGUCUUCCCCACGAGCGUGCACCUCCUUCCUCACGAACAUAGUCGCCUCCUCCUCCAUCCGCCGCCCCCUCUUCCAUCUGCCCACCUCAAUCGCCCCCCCUUCACAUCUCGUCCGCCCCCGGGUUCCUGCAUCCAACGCGUAGCAACAACAGCGCCGCUCUUUCUCAACGGGUAUGGCCGCCUCCGCCCCUGCCCCCUGCUCGGAUAGGUGAGCUUUCCUCUCUUUCUUUCUUCUUCACCUGACCUUCUUCUCUUCCUCACUGCCCCUCCUCUUCCAAUCUCUGUUCAAGGCAAGGUGGAGGUGGCUCCUGUAGAAGAGGAGAUCUGGUGGACAAGUCCCAGUCCAUGGAGAAAACGCUUGCACAUGUGAGUUUUUUUUUCCAUUUUUCUUAGUUUUUAAGGGUGUGUUUUGGGCUUUAGAUUGAUUUGGUAGUGCACAUGGUGUUACUACCAUGGGACCCUUAGACCGGUUUGAUGUUUAUGCCCUAAAUACCUACUCUCAGAUUAGCUUGGUUAGUUAAUUCGAUAUGGAUCUCCGCUGCAGAUUUGUUGCUGGUAUGGUGUGCCUAUUCGUGCCAUUGGAAUUAAUUAUUGUGUGCUCAAGCUCUUGUUUUGAUCUGCUUUAGUAUGAUGCUAACAUGAAUUGUUCUUUUCAGGAAAGUCAUUCAUUUAAAUCAUUUUUGGCAAGGCCCCAUCACACCUGGUAUAUUGGUUACGUAAGAGAAAUUGAAGUGCCAACCCAUAAUUCUCAUUGCUAAGCUUGCCUACAGCAGGUCUAUUCUUUCUAAAUGGUGUACAAUCGAUGAAAUAUUGGCCUAGAAGAUGGUUGUUUUAUAAGGAUAUGGAUAGCUUGAAAGACACAAAGAGAAUGUUGCUGCCAAAAAAACAUGGGGCGGCACAUAAUUGUUACCAUCACAGACCUUAUGAGAACUGUUAUUGCCAUUUUCUAUAUGGGAUUGACAUAGUAAAUUCUCCCCUUCAUACUGCUCUUUCAAGACCACAUAUGACGUAAUGCUUAUAACUAGUAAAUAUUUGUUGGUAUUAUUUUCAAGAGAUUUAUUUUAAUAAUUUGAACUGUUGAACCAGCAUAUCAAAGAGGUAAUGACCAAGCUGCUAGAGCAUGGUUGUAAGCCAUUUCCCUUAUGAAAUCAGUCGAACUUUGGAAUUUUAAGUGUGUACCAAGUCGUGCAUAGCUUUCUGUUUGUGUAACUGGAAAGUUUAUGGUGCAUUUGGGACCAAAGUAUUUGAAGUUUUUUUAGGAAUAUU